UGACGGCAACUGCAGAAGAUAA
rnacentral:miRNA from 1 species